GCGGCGAUCGGUGCUGAAGUUGGGCGGAUGGCAUAAAAACAGCGGCGAUGGACAUUUCACCACAGGAUUCCCAUUUACGAUGUCAUUAAAUAAGCAUCGGGAAAACGCUCGUUCAAAUCUACCAUCGUACCACACUGACAGCAUUUAAUAAAGCGAUGCUGUGGAAACGUUUCCCUGCUCGCUGUAUUUCUUCAUCUGCAAUGAACCCUUAGCUGUGCAAUACCAUCAUUUUACUGAAGCUUAGGAGGGGACAGAGUGAGAACGGAGAGCGCUUGAAUACCCUGUCCAGGGAGGCACAAGGAGAAGAGAUAACUAUUGUUAUUUAUUUUGCCUCUCUCCCAUCCCUUUCUAAAUGUCAGUUGGUCAGAGAUGGUGAAAUUAGCAGUCCAUCUCCCAAGUACCGGCUCUCCCAUCCUCCAUUUCCAACAAGCCAAACAGUCAGUCAACAGUUAGUCAGUCAGACAGAUAGUCAGUCCACCAGUCUCGGUCAUCCUCCCACCUAUUACCUCAGCGCCAUGUCCGCUCUGUGUAACCUGUCUUCAGGAUUCUACUAAUUCUCAUGCCCCGUAGUCUGAGUGGAGUGGAGAUGAGGAAAAGGCAGGCGGGCCACAUCGAGGGCCCCCCACAGGCCCCCGGUCAGCCCCGACCCAACACCUGCUGCCUAUGCUGGUGUGGCUGCUGCAAGUGCCUCUGGAAUGAGGACCGCAUCGAGAGGAGUGGCCGCGACACCUGCACCAAGAUGGACAGCAUCGAAGCCAGCGACGAACACCUCCCCAGUCUAGAGGACAUGGGCUCGUGGGCCAGGAGCUUUGAGAUGAUGAUGCGCUCCAUGGAGGGCCGGGAGUUCUUCCGGGAGUUCCUGCGCUCCGAGUACAGCGAGGAGAACCUGCUCUUCUGGCUGGCCUGCGAGGAGCUGAAGAAGGAAACCAACCCGGCCACCGUGGACGAGAAGGCCCGCAUCAUCUACGAGGACUACGUGUCCAUACUGUCCCCCAAAGAGGUGAGCUUGGACUCUCGCGUGAGGGAGGGCAUCAACCAGAGCCUGGCGGAGCCCAGCAACCUCAUGUACGAGGAGGCCCAGCUGCAGAUCUACACGCUGAUGCACCGGGACUCCUUCCCCCGCUUCCUCAACUCCUCCGUUUACAGAGAGCUCCUGGCCACCAGGAGGCGCACCUGCCUGGACACCUAGACAGGGCCAGCGCACACUCCCAGCCGCAACCUAUGCCAACGAGACUACUGCUACCACUCAACACUUCACGUACUGCGACGGUGCCGGAAGCUCGGGCCUGACGGAGAGGGACGGCCUAAACACGAUGACAUGUCGGACAUACUGUACUGGGUAUUGAAUUAGCAUCCACCAUGCUACAUGCUAGUUUGGUUGUUUGGUUUCGACGAGGCUAACUCGUUUUUCAGCAUGCUGUUGGCUAGCGGUUAGCAUGCCUGUGCUAGUCAGACUAAUGGUCCAUUUCUACAGCCAGCCCUCUCUGGAGAGGCUGUUGUUGUUUUCCUAAUUUGACAUUGCCAGCAUGCGUUGAUAGUGGCUGUGUGUGUGUAUGGUGAAGUUACACACUCAUCAAAAAAAUACACACAAUUUAGUGGAUCUUGCCAAAUUUCCAAUUAACCUUUUCAAAACAUAUGUUAAGAUGUGAACCUUUUGAACGUAACCUUUGACCCUGGCCUGCGGAUGUGUGGUAGGAAGUGCACGAGCACAGUAUAGGUAUUUUUAUUUUUCUCAAGAGGCCUCAAAGCAGAUGAGUCAUGUUGUGUUCUGGACGGCUAAUGGCGGUUAGGGCAGGUCUUAAGUGUCAAUAAAACGGUGCCACUCCUGAGCGAUGCGUACAUGCGUCCACGUUGCCACCUCCUUAAACUACCUGAAGUUCACGUGCCAAGCCUGCUCUAGACCUAAAGUACCGCAGCGUCUCCUCAGCCCACCGGACCGCAACUCGAUCAAAUCUAGGGGCUAAAUGGGAAUCUCCAUUAUUUUUUUCUCGUUUCCACAAGAUACAUUUUCUGGAUCCACAUUCAUUUUUAUUAAACGGAUAAUUCAUAAUAUGUUAGAUUUAUUAUGUCUGUUUUUGGGAGAUUUGAUGGGUCUGAAAAGCCUCCUGCAUUUUCCAAUUGUCUCGAAGUUAGUGCAUUUAACCAAAGCAAAUGCUAGUACCUUAGAAACCGUUAGCAUAUCUGUUGAUAACUGAAUUGAUACCUUUUAAAAAGGAAGUUAUUAUCGUACCUUAUUUGCCUCCACUUUAGUUUCUACUAAUUAUAAAAAAAAAAAUGAAAAAUGUCAGCUGCUAUUUAAUAUUAAAUAUACAAUAAUAUAUAUUAUAACAAUAAUAAAAUACUUUAUUACUCGAAAUUAUUCAGACAUUAGACAUGAUCAAAUCCCAAGGCCAUCCUUGGUAAUAAUAACAGCCUACAUUACAGAAGGGCUCGACAAACUAUGCUUGGUUCAAUGAAAGACGCGAGGCUACUUAAUGUAGAGCUGCAUGCAUGUGCCCUGCCAUUUGAAGAGCUAGAAGAAUACAUUUAUUAGAAUAAAUACAUUGAUGGCUAAACUCCACCACAGUCGUUUCUGGCAAUACAAGCAUUUGAGUUGUGUUACUCUGAGUUUCUCAACACGACAACUCUGUAUUGUUUAAUAUCUAACAGAAACUGUUAUUUCAGAAGUUCCCUUCAGACAAAUCCCUUCUCUGCAUGGUGGCGAGGCUGUAUGUAAGAAUUAAAAUGAGAAUGUUUCACCAACAACCAGACAAUGAAAUCAAGGUGCAGUUAUACCGAGUUUACAUUUAUAAGCAGUGAGAUGUAUGUAUACCUUAAUGAUGUUAGGAACAUUUGGGAGCAGGCCGUCUCCGGUGAACACAGACCGGCUCACUCUGGUCUCCUUCUGGGCUCUGACUCAGUCUCCCAUUAAAGGCUCUUUUACAGCGAGGACGAACCUGUCCCGCACUUCUGCUGAGGUACACCCCCAUCGCUCACUGUCAUGGUGAGAUUCUCCGAACAUGGGCCAAAACACAAGGUUCCUCAUAUUUCUUUAAAAAAUAAGUUGGCAUUCAAAAUGUCAAUUUUUACAAAGCAAUGAGGACGGUGUGAAGUUAUUCAGUGUCGUGAUCAUCGUUUUUCAUACAACUUACAAAAGCUUCAGAGUGAAUGGGUUUUGGCGGCUGUGAUUUUAUUGAGCUAAAACGGCAGAGAACUGAGCGCUUCUGACGACCCAUGGGUUGGCUUAGCUGUGGGCCAAUUUCAUUUUUAUUUUUUAUUUUUUACAAAUAUACAUCUUUGUAGGCUUUUCACUACCUCUCAUGUUGGUUAAUUUAUUUCACAUCUAGUUUUCAAUGUACAAGUUGUUUUAGACCUACUUGAAGCCUAACACUGUAAACAAAAUGUGCACAGAGAAAUGAACAUGUAUUUGAUAGGAGGAGUUAAACAGAGCUUAGCCUAGUCUACAUAGUUUUCGUUUGUACCUUUGUGUGGUUUGGUUUUGCGUUGUGUUGAGCCGAACUAGAGUUUUAAAUCUCUAUUAAAAAAACAAUUCAGGAAUUUCACUGUCUAAGGGCUAAUCCCAUUUUUGCCUAUGCAAAUCUGUUACUGUGUGCGCGUUGGGGGGGGCCCAGCGGCCCACCCAUCACAUGUGCUCAUUGGACCCUGGUUUACAUUGCCCUGCUGAGUCUUCAAUCUUAUUCAGCAAAAUAUAUACGCCUAUUUCUGUUCUUUGUUAAUAGUCUCUCUCCCCUCUUUCUCUCUCUCUCUCUCUCUCUCUUUCUCUCUCUCUCGCUCUCUCUCCCUCCCUUUAUUUAUAUAUAUAUAUAUAUAAUAUAUAUAUAUAUAUAUAUACAGAAAAAAACACUUAUAUGCAUAUAUAUGACAAGUAAUAUACAGAGAAAAUAGUAUAUGCCUUCGUGAUGGUAACAAAAAAAACUUGCUGAAAACAAAUAAAUGUGUGUUGACAUUCCGGUGCUGUGCGUCCCGGAUUGGGUGAGGUGUAGUUCAUUGGAGUCUGAACCCGACGUUUACUGACUGUUGUUUGGGACUGACUGAAAUACCGUGUGUGUGUGUGUGUGUGUGUGUGUGUGUGUGUGUGUGUGUGUGUGUGUGUGUGUGUGUGUGUGUGUGUGUGUGUGUGUGUGUGUGUGUGUGUGUGUGUGUGUGUGUGUGUGUGUGUGUGUGUUUGUAUGUAUGUACCGGUGGGUUUCUUGAUUCCAGAGGGAAAUUAUCAAUGAUUUGUGUUUCAAUUGAGUGAAUUGAAAUGUGAUUUGAUUAUGGUUGCUGUUACCACAGAAAUUGGAUUGAUUACUAAAUUCAGAUAUGAUGGCAUUUACUUGGUCAAGACAGGGAUUUGGUUAUAUUAUAUAUGCUCCAAUGAGUCACGUCUCUGCUGUUGAAUGGAGGAUAAAAACUUGUCAAAAAUAAAUUGGUGCAGCUUAGUCAUCAGCAUAAUCAUGGCACUCUUCUGCAUUUCUUAAACCUGCACUGGAACUUUUUCACAGAGGCAAAUAUAGUUCUAAGGUUUAAUCUUUCCUCGUUCCACUGUCUUCUCAAUAAAAACCUCACAUCAGGUGGUUGCAGCGUCGGUGUAGAGAUGGAGUCCUGCCGUACUGGACUCUCAGUACAACCAGGACAAACUAAAAGUCCUCAUUUGUCAAAAGACCAUUCACUCCGCAUUUUAACCAAAUCUGUGUCCAGUGUGAUGUUGGUUUUCAAGAACAGAACGCCAAUCGAACCUCUUAGUAAGUAUAAAUGUGUUGGUCGAUUUGGUGUGUGCUCAUAGGAGCCGACCUCGAGAAAACAACCCUUUCUCCCCUCUCUCUCUCCAUCUGUCUCUCUCUCUCCCUCGGUCGGUCAUGCCCUGUCACCCAGACCCUCUCAUAGCCAAGAUGGCGCUGGGUUGUUAUUCUUCAUAACUGCUGUCUCACUCGGUCUGUGGUCCUGCAUCUAGGGGCCGUCUUGGUAUUUUAGCAAAGAGUUUAUAUUUGUACAGGUACUGAUUGAAGUUGGCGUUCGACCUAUUGAACAGUUUCAGGCAAUCACUAUCCUCUUUAUUGAUUUAGAUGCCUAGACCUCUGGUUUCUGCCUUUUGUAAAUGUCGGCUUCAACGAGAGAUGUUCCAUUGAUGAAAUUAAAUCAUUUUAACGUCACUUCAAAUUUCCAAGUGGCAUAUUUUCUAUACAGCAUGCUUUUUGCUAAGUAAACAAAAUAAUGAUUCUGUUAUUUAAUAUAAACGAUACUGUAUGAGUAUGUAUUCAAGUACUGCAGUAUGCAGACAAUAAAAAAAAAAGAUCUGAAACUCUUUUAGGAGGUUCAUAUUUUGACUCUAGUAAUAUCUUAUUUCAUUUCUGUGUAGUGUCUCAUGAAUGGUCUGAAUUGUGCAGCGUUUUUGGUCAUCCACAACAACAACAACUGAAGCCGGUAUCGUGGAUAAUGCCGCCGCCAAAUGCAUGUGAGCAACUUCAAAAGCACAGCGCUAGUUGUGCUACAUGUUCAACCAAACUCUCCAUUUGUCCUGGACUCGAUGUGUAAUGUCUUAUGAAUAUGAAGCCUGGCUCUGUGACUUAGGGUAACACAAGGACUUCUUAGAAAAGGUGCCGUUGGAUUUCUGUGGCUGGACGUUCGAUGACACAUGACAGGGCUUCGGAGAACUCCAGGCACUCUUUGUAGAGCGUAUGAAGCGCUCAUUGUUUGUAUUCAUUUUUUUCAAGACGGAAACUUUAACCAUAUGUUGUGAUCUAGACCUGGUUCUGGAAGUGUAAAGGAUAUGAUACGGAGAUGACCUCUUCUACAGAUUAAAGCCAAUCACUCCAAUAUUUGGGGUUGCUGAAGGAGAGGAGGGAGAAUGAUUUAGAUCAUAUAUAUAUAUAUAUAUAGAGAGAGAGAUGAAUAUAUAUGUUAAUGUAGCCUCCAAAUGCUAUUGUUAAUAUGCUUUGACAUGAAUAUCUGAAAGAAUAAUAUGUGAAGUUGCACUGUGGAUGCGCACACACACACACACACACACACACACACACACACACACACACACACACACACACACACACACACACACGACCCCUCUUCCCGUCAACGUAAAAAAUAAAUAGCCUUGUCUUGAACGGUUCUUCAAGGUGCAGUGUGUAGAAUUCAGUGGUACUGUGCGGAAUGGGAAAAACUGAAUAUAAUCUUCAGAAGUAUGUUUUCAUUUUUGUUUAAUCCCAUGAAAAUAACAGAGAACCCUCUUCCACAGUGAUCUCCAACUCCCAUCUUAUGAUUGGUCGAAGCACUUAUUAAAAGAAAGAAGGCAAAACGCCUUGUUCACCAAGAAUUUAGCUUUUCUGCCCCCGUUAUAUCGCAAUCAUUUAAUGAGAUCAUUGGUAAGAACUUGCUGGCACCUUAUUGUCCAGGACAGGCUGCUGUAGCUUUUCCUGCUCUGUGGAAAGGGGGACUUAGGGGACAUAUACAGUUGGUUGCAAUCUGCAACCUCACCAUUAGAGGCCACUUGAUCCUACACACAUCACCUUUAAGUCUCUUCUAUGAGGACGAACGGUUUUGCUUCAAAUUUCCAGGGAAAAUAAGCAACAUUACAUAAAGAGCACUUGUUUGUGUAAAUGGAAGCGUGUUAACCGAAUUUAGCACCUUGUGUUUGUGGUCGCUGGGUGUUUGGUGAGCAGAAACACAUGUCUCCUCAACAAAAGCGAAAAAAGAUAUAUGUAUAAAUGUAUAGAAGUAAGAUUACAGUAAAGUCCAGCAUGAUUUUCGUUGAAGCUGCAACAAAAAAAGUAAUCGUUCUUGCAAGUAUGGUAAAAUACAAUGCAUAUUUCCAUCAUCAUGUAUGGCCAAAUUGACCUUUCCUCUGCAUUCACAUAAAAGGUUAGAAUUGCCUGGAUAUGAAAUGUCACACAACCGAAAUAAACCGCAAAAAAAACAGGAUUUUCUUUAUAAUUUGUUUUGCCCUUAUCUUUCAUUGGUUCUCAUGUUGAAGAAUAAAUCCACCUUAGGUCAACUGUCAUUUGUUCCAACUUUUCUUUUUUUCAUUGAGUUUGAAAUACAAGUGAAGCCUGCAGUAUCAUCCACACAAUAAGAGAAGCCAUGCAUCUGUAAAGUAGCACUGAACAUGUGGAAGCAGAUGUGUUGUUGGAACAAAGAACCUUAGCUCACAAGACCACCGGACCACUAGGUGGGAGACAACUAGCCAUUUCGGGUUCAACUGAAAUUAUAACUUCAUAUUUAAAAAAUAUCAUGCGUUUUUCACCGUUGUUGUCGUUUUCAAUUGUUUUCGAUUCCGUUUGAAAAGUAAAUAUGUUUAAUUUGUCUUUAUUUUAUCCACACUAAAAAAAGAGUGUUCUUCAUGGGCUUUGUAUUGGUUAACCCUCAGCAUCAUGUUUGAAUGAGUUCAGCUGUGGUACAUUUCACUGUAUAGAUCCAUCUCUGUCAUCGUUUACAUGGAACCGGCAUAUGAGAAUAUUCCUGGUGACUGCCCUGAGUAUCUGUAAUUAAAGUGGGCUGCUACAGAAAGACAUUUAAUGUAACAUCUUAUAAUAAAUACAUAAUAGUUUCUUUUUCCUCCGUGUCUGUGUCUUCCUUUAACUUAGAUACCACAAUGGGCAAUUCGCCGUUUUGUAGUUAGAAGUGGGUGGAUUUUUAAAGUCCUUGUUGAGGAGGGUUCGUUGAGAUUAUAUAACCUCAAAAAUAUGAAUUAUCAUUUGAUUGAAGAGAUGGACAUCUAUCAUUAGGUGGUAAGUGGUGACAUAGAUGCAUAAGCAAUUCUAAGAGCAGGUAUGUUUAAAUAGAUGUACACAACGCAGCCUUGGAAGAAAUUAAAUAAGGUCCCUAAAGCAUGGUUGAAAAGAUAUCUCCAGUCAGCUCCAUAAAACAGAUUAAACAAUCUCACACAAUCUCCUCACGCUCAAACUUGAUUCAACGUAACUACUUAAAGGGCUGUCUUUUUUAUGAAAUAACUUUUUACUGCAUUAUUUAAUUAUAAAUUUCUUUCAGGUCAGAUGACCACCCUAUACUGAUUAGCGUAAAGGAGAAACAUUCCAGAUGAACAAAGAAGAAGAACAGGUUUUGAU